rnacentral:rRNA from 1 species
UACGUAGGGGGGCAAGCGUUGUCCGGAAUCAUUGGGCGUAAAGCGCGUGUAGGCGGCCCGGUAAGUCCGCUGUGAAAGUCCAGGGCUCAACCCUGGAAUGCCGGUGGAUACUGUCGGGCUCGAGUCCGGAAGAGGCGAGUGGAAUUCCUGGUGUAGCGGUGAAAUGCGCAGAUAUCAGGAGGAACACCGAUGGCGAAGGCAGCUCGCUGGGACGGUACUGACGCUGAGGCGCGAAAGCGUGGGGAGCGAACAGG